GCCUCGUAACUUCGGGAGAAUGGGUGCCCCCUCACAAAAGGGGGCCGCAGUGACCAGGCCCGGGCGAUUGUUUACCAAGAACACAGGUCUCCGCAAAGUCCCAUAAGACCAUGUAUGGGGGCUGACGCCUACCUUGGUUCCGUAGGAAAGUCAGAAAGGUUGAGAAAUAAAACCAUCUGAUU
rnacentral:ncRNA from 1 species